GUUGCAAUACUGGUUCUUGUAUGAUCAUCAAAGUUAAGCCAUGUUGAGCCUGAUCAGUACCUAAAUGGGUGACCACUUGGGAAUACCAGAUGCUGUAAG